GACGAACGCUGGCAGCGUGCCUAAUACAUGCAAGUCGAACGAACUCUGGUAUUGAUUGGUGCUUGCAUCAUGAUUUACAUUUGAGUGAGUGGCGAACUGGUGAGUAACACGUGGGAAACCUGCCCAGAAGCGGGGGAUAACACCUGGAAACAGAUGCUAAUACCGCAUAACAACUUGGACCGCAUGGUCCGAGCUUGAAAGAUGGCUUCGGCUAUCACUUUUGGAUGGUCCCGCGGCGUAUUAGCUAGAUGGUGGGGUAACGGCUCACCAUGGCAAUGAUACGUAGCCGACCUGAGAGGGUAAUCGGCCACAUUGGGACUGAGACACGGCCCAAACUCCUACGGGAGGCAGCAGUAGGGAAUCUUCCACAAUGGACGAAAGUCUGAUGGAGCAACGCCGCGUGAGUGAAGAAGGGUUUCGGCUCGUAAAACUCUGUUGUUAAAGAAGAACAUAUCUGAGAGUAACUGUUCAGGUAUUGACGGUAUUUAACCAGAAAGCCACGGCUAACUACGUGCCAGCAGCCGCGGUAAUACGUAGGUGGCAAGCGUUGUCCGGAUUUAUUGGGCGUAAAGCGAGCGCAGGCGGUUUUUUAAGUCUGAUGUGAAAGCCUUCGGCUCAACCGAAGAAGUGCAUCGGAAACUGGGAAACUUGAGUGCAGAAGAGGACAGUGGAACUCCAUGUGUAGCGGUGAAAUGCGUAGAUAUAUGGAAGAACACCAGUGGCGAAGGCGGCUGUCUGGUCUGUAACUGACGCUGAGGCUCGAAAAGUAUGGGUAGCAAACAGGAUUAGAUACCCUGGUAGUCCAUACCGUAAACGAUGAAUGCUAAGUGUUGGAGGGUUUCCGCCCUUCAGUGCUGCAGCUAACGCAUUAAGCAUUCCGCCUGGGGAGUACGGCCGCAAGGCUGAAACUCAAAGGAAUUGACGGGGGCCCGCACAAGCGGUGGAGCAUGUGGUUUAAUUCGAAGCUACGCGAAGAACCUUACCAGGUCUUGACAUACUAUGCAAAUCUAAGAGAUUAGACGUUCCCUUCGGGGACAUGGAUACAGGUGGUGCAUGGUUGUCGUCAGCUCGUGUCGUGAGAUGUUGGGUUAAGUCCCGCAACGAGCGCAACCCUUAUUAUCAGUUGCCAGCAUUAAGUUGGGCACUCUGGUGAGACUGCCGGUGACAAACCGGAGGAAGGUGGGGAUGACGUCAAAUCAUCAUGCCCCUUAUGACCUGGGCUACACACGUGCUACAAUGGAUGGUACAACGAGUUGCGAACUCGCGAGAGUGAGCUAAUCUCUUAAAGCCAUUCUCAGUUCGGAUUGUAGGCUGCAACUCGCCUACAUGAAGUCGGAAUCGCUAGUAAUCGCGGAUCAGCAUGCCGCGGUGAAUACGUUCCCGGGCCUUGUACACACCGCCCGUCACACCAUGAGAGUUUGUAACACCCAAAGUCGGUGGGGUAACCUUUUAGGAACCAGCCGCCUAAGGUGGGACAGAUGAUUAGGGUG
rnacentral:rRNA from 2 species